rnacentral:rRNA from 2 species
GGGGGAUAUUGCGCAAUGGGGGCAACCCUGACGCAGCAACGCCGCGUGAAGGAUGAAGGUUUUCGGAUUGUAAACUUCUUUUAUUAAGGACGAAACUUGACGGUACUUAAUGAAUAAGCUCCGGCUAACUACGUGCCAGCAGCCGCGGUAAUACGUAGGGAGCAAGCGUUGUCCGGAUUUACUGGGUGUAAAGGGUGCGUAGGCGGCUUUGCAAGUCAGAUGUGAAAUCUAUGGGCUCAACCCAUAAACUGCAUUUGAAACUGUAGAGCUUGAGUGAAGUAGAGGCAGGCGGAAUUCCCCGUGUAGCGGUGAAAUGCGUAGAGAUGGGGAGGAACACCAGUGGCGAAGGCGGCCUGCUGGGCUUUAACUGACGCUGAGGCACGAAAGCGUGGGUAGCAAACAGGAUUAGAUACCCUGGUAGUCCACGCUGUAAACGAUGAUUACUAGGUGUGGGGGGUCUGACCCCUUCCGUGCCGGAGUUAACACAAUAAGUAAUCCACCUGGGGAGUACGGCCGCAAGGUUGAAACUCAAAGGAAUUGACGGGGGCCCGCACAAGCAGUGGAGUAUGUGGUUUAAUUCGAAGCAAUGCGAAGAACCUUACCAGGUCUUGACAUCCAACUAACGAAGUAGAGAUACAUUAGGUGCCCUUCGGGGAAAGUUGAGACAGGUGGUGCAUGGUUGUCGUCAGCUCGUGUCGUGAGAUGUUGGGUUAAGUCCCGCAACGAGCGCAACCCUUGCUAUUAGUUGCUACGCAAGAGCACUCUAAUAGGACUGCCGUUGACAAAACGGAGGAAGGUGGGGACGACGUCAAAUCAUCAUGCCCCUUAUGACCUGGGCUACACACGUACUACAAUGGAUGUUAACAGAGGGAAGCAAGACAGCGAUGUGGAGCAAACCCCUAAAAACAUUCUCAGUUCAGAUUGCAGGCUGCAACCCGCCUGCAUGAAGAUGGAAUUGCUAGUAAUCGCGGAUCAGCAUGCCGCGGUGAAUACGUUCCCG